rnacentral:rRNA from 1 species
GUCCUCUUGAUGAUAUUUUGAGGUCUGGCCUGCUCACUGACAAGGUUUUGAAGAGCCGCGGUAUUUUGACCGUGCAAAGGUAGCAUAAUCAUUAGUCUCUUAAUUAGGGGCUGGAAUGAAUGGCUUGACGAGAAAUCAACUGUCUCUUAAUAAUUUUUAAAAUUUAACUUUUGAGUCAAAAGGCUUAAAUUUUUCUUUAGGACGAGAAGACCCUAUAGAGCUUAACAUUUUAUUUUUAUAUAGUUUUUAGUUGAUCUUUCUAUAUUUAAUGAUAAUGUUUUGUUGGGGUGACAUGAAGAAUAAUUAAACUCUUCAUUAUAAAAUCAUUGAUUUAUGUUUAUCAUGAUCCAUAAUUUAUGAUCAUAAGAUUAAGUUACCUUAGGGAUAACAGCGUAAUUGUUUUCGAGAGCUCAUAUCGACAAAGCAGAUUGCGACCUCGAUGUUGGAUUAAGAAAAAUUUUGGGUGCAGGAGCCCAAUAAUUAGGUCUGUUCGACCUUUAAAUUCUUACA